rnacentral:lncRNA from 1 species
CCCCCCGCGAGGCGGGGACUAGAGCCAGCCCCUCUUCCCACCCUGGCUUAGGACCCCCAUCGCGGAUCCUAAGAUCCUUAGGACCCAACUGGAGGACUGUGGGUAUUAGGUGCCCAAGAAGAAAGCUCAGAUCUGCCGACGUUACUUGGGAUUUACUAUCCGACAGGUGUCCGAACACAGCUCGAGAUCAGAAAGAAAGCAGGUCAUUUGCAAUCUACCGGAGCCAGCCCCUCUUCCCCCGCUUGCUCUUAGGACCCCCAUCGCAGCAGGGCAGACACACACCCCAAGGCGGGAACUGAGAGCCAGCCCCACUUCCCCCCUGGCUCUUGGGACCCCCAUCGCUGGGGGGAGGCACCCCCCGCGAGGCGGGGACUGAGAGCCAGCCCCUCUUCCCCCCCUGGCUAAGACCCCCAUCGCGAAUCCUAAGAUCCUUAGGACCCACCUGGAGGACCCUGGGUAUUAGGUGUCCAAGAAGAAAGCUCAGAUCUGCCGACCGCAGGUACCUUACUUGGGAUUUACUAUACCACAGGGGUCCGAACGCAGCCCGGGAUCAGGAAGAAAGCAGGUCGUUUGCAAUCUACCGGAGCCUAAGGGCAGAAGGCAGGGGUCCGAAUGCAGCCCGGGAUCACAAAGAAAGCAGGUCGUUUGCAAUCUACCAGAGCCUAAGGGCAGAAGGCAGGAUCGUGGGAACAAUAUCCCAUGGGGGUGUACCCUUUCUGCCAUAUAUGUAGUCACAUCACCCACUCCGCCUUGGAAUAUUAUUAAGGACCAUCUAACACGAGGGUGUAUACGUCCUGUGAUAUUGGGAGUAAUAUCAACUUCUCGGCCUCUGAAUAUGAGGAAGAAUAUCACAGGGAUAUUAAUAACAAUUUCACAGGCUGGGUGAACACAGCCGGCGAUGCUGAAAUUAUUAUCAUCCUCUCCCCCUCUUCCCCUCCUGGCUCUCAGUCCCCGCCUCACGGGUUAUGUAGCGGGUUAUGGCAAGAAGACAAACUGCAGUUUCCUGCACAGAACAGCACAAACAAUGAUCCAAGCUCAGUUACAACACAAUAUUGGUCAUCAUUUGACCAUGGACUUCAAUAUCAACCCUUAGAAACCUUCCUAAAACAGGUCAGCAAAACACCAAGAAGCAAUAUCCUGAAUGAUAGGAAAAUAUCCUUGCUUGUGCAAAUUGUUUCCACUUAAUUUUUUUCAACAAAUGUUAAUUAUAUUUUUACUUUCUAAAAAUUUUUAAUAAAAUAUAGCCUACUUGGUUAAAAAUGGUGUCAAAGCUUUUCUAAA